ACUGAAUCCUGCAGCAUUGCAACAACUUGGAGCUCUGCUGAUAGUCCUGCUCAUGCUGCACUACUGCCUCAUGGCUGGUGGGUUGGCCGACUGAUUUAUAGAGUUGCAGAGAUCCAGAUCCUUUCUACCUCUGGAUGGAGCUCAAAUCUUCUCUAAUUCCAGACUGCUGGGACUACGGCUGCUCCUAAGGCCAUACAGACUUCAUAUGGAUCCAUAAUGAACUUUUUCACACUAACUGUUGUUACCCAGAUGAGGAUGGGUUCCCUUCUGAGUCGGCUUCCUCUCAAGGUUUCUUCCUCUUAAAACAUCUUAGGGAGUUUUUCCUUGCCACCGAC
ensembl:lncRNA